UACGUAGGGUGCGAGCGUUGUCCGGAAUUAUUGGGCGUAAAGGGCUCGUAGGCGGUUUGUCGCGUCGGGAGUGAAAUCCACUGGCUUAACUGGUGGCUUGCUUUCGAUACAGGCAGACUGGAGGUAUGCAGGGGAGAACGGAAUUCCUGGUGUAGCGGUGAAAUGCGCAGAUAUCGGGAGGAACACCAGUGGCGAAGGCGACUUCCUGGCCUGUUCUUGACGCUGAGGCGCGAAAGCUAGGGGAGCAAACGGG
rnacentral:rRNA from 1 species